rnacentral:rRNA from 1 species
GAGCCUUGAUGUGUAGGAUAGGUGGGAGGCUUAGAAGUGUGGACGCCAGUCUGCAUGGAGCCGACCUUGAAAUACCACCCUUUAAUGUUUGAUGUUCUAACGUUGACCCGUAAUCCGGGUUGCGGACAGUGUCUGGUGGGUAGUUUGACUGGGGCGGUCUCCUCCUAAAGAGUAACGGAGGAGCACGAAGGUUGGCUAAUCCUGGUCGGACAUCAGGAGGUUAGUGCAAUGGCAUAAGCCAGCUUGACUGCGAGCGUGACGGCGCGAGCAGGUGCGAAAGCAGGUCAUAGUGAUCCGGUGGUUCUGAAUGGAAGGGCCAUCGCUCAACGGAUAAAAGGUACUCCGGGGAUAACAGGCUGAUACCGCCCAAGAGUUCAUAUCGACGGCGGUGUUUGGCACCUCGAUGUCGGCUCAUCACAUCCUGGGGCUGAAGUAGGUCCCAAGGGUAUGGCUGUUCGCCAUUUAAAGUGGUACGCGAGCUGGGUUUAGAACGUCGUGAGACAGUUCGGUCCCUA